rnacentral:rRNA from 1 species
CCUGCGGAAGGAUCAUUAUUGAUUGGUCGAAAGACCUUAUCAGAUUCUACCACCUCUGUGAACCGUUGACCUCCGGGUUAAUAAUCAAACAUCAGUGUAACGAACGUAAGAGUAUCUUAAUUAAACAAAACUUUUAACAACGGAUCUCUUGGCUCUCGCAUCGAUGAAGAACGCAGCGAAAUGCGAUAAGUAAUGUGAAUUGCAGAAUUCAGUGAAUCAUCGAAUCUUUGAACGCACCUUGCGCCUUUUGGUAUUCCGAAAGGCAUGCCUGUUUCAGUGUCAUGAAAUCUCAAUCUAAUAUGUUUUCUGAACAUGUUAGGCUUGGACUUGGGUGUCUGCCAGCAAUGGCUCACCUUAAAUGACUUAGUGGAACAUCCCACAUCAGUGUUAGACGUAAUAAGUUUCGUCUCUCCUUGUGGUGAUGACUGCUCAGAACCUGCCAUCGCGCAUCUUUUGACUUUGACCUGAAAUCAGGUAGGGCUACCCGCUGAACUUAAGCAUAUCAAUAAG